rnacentral:lncRNA from 1 species
AGGUGGCUUCCACAGUGCAUAGUGGUUAUCAGCUGUGCCUCCCUCUUAGAGGUCCUCGGAGUCCAGAGUCCUCGAAGGGAAAUCUGACACAAAGAAGCAGCAGGUAAAUGAAGGAGAAAAGAAAAGAACAAAAUCCACCGGGAACCAGAGACUUCCAGGCUCCAAAGACAGGCAAUCUCCACCAGGAAAAAAUAAUUCUGGAAGUGAGUCUGCCAUUGCUGGGCAGGAACCCAGACUCCUGCUAGCUCAGUGCUCUGUCUUCCUUAGCUUUUUGUUCCUUGGACUUAAGGUCCAAGAUGGCUGCUGAGGUUCCAGCCAUCACACUAAAAUUGCAUCCGACUGAAAGAGGAAAGGAAGAAGAAAGUGCCCUGGCUCACCUUUUUGGAGACUUCCUGAAGAGACGGGUUUCGCCGUGUUGGCCGAGCUGGUCUCCAGCUCCCGACCGCGAGUGAUCUGCCCGCUUCGGCCUCCCGAGGUGCCGGGAGUGCAGACGGAGUCUCGCUCACUCAGUGCUCAGUCUUGCCGGGGCUGGAGUGCAGUGGCGUGAUCUCGGCUCGCUACAACCUCCACCUCCCAGCUGCCUGCCUUGGCCUCCCAAAGUGCUGAGAUUGCAGCCUCUGCCCAGCCGCCACCCCGUCUGGGAAGUGAGGAGCGUCUCUGCCUGGCCGUCCAUCAUCUGAGAUGUGAGGAGCCCCUCUGCCUGGCAGCCCAGUCGGGGAAGUGAGGAGCACCUCUUCCCGGCCGCCAUCCCAUCUAGGAAGUGAGGAGCGUCUCUGCCCUGCCGCCCAUCGUCUGAGAUGUGGGGAGCGCCGCUGCCCCGCCGCCCCGCCGCCCCGUCUGGGAUAUGAGGAGCACCUCUGUCUGGCCGCGACCCCGUCUGGGAACUGAGGAGUGUCUCUGCCCGACCGCCACCCCGUCUGGGAGGUGAGGAGCGUCUCUGCCCGGCCACCCCGUCUGAGAAGUGAGGAGCCCCUCCGCCCGGCAGCUGCCCCGUCUGGGAAGUGAGGAGCCCCUCUGCCCUGCAGCCGCCCAGUCUGGGAAGUGAGGAGCGUCUCCGCCCAGCAGCCGCCCCGUCUGGGAGGGAGGUGGGGGGCAGCCCCCGCCCGGCCAGCUGCCCCAUCUGGGAGGUGAGGGGCGCCUCUGCCCGGCCGCCCCGUCUGGGAAGUGAAGAGCCCCUCUGCCCGGCUGCCACCCCGUCUGGGAGGUGUACCCAACAGCUCAUUGAGAACGGGCCAUGAUGACGAUGGCGGUUUUGUCGAAUAGAAAAGGGGGAAAUGUGGGGAAAAGAGAGAUCAGAUUGUUACUGUGUCUGUGUGGAAAGAAGUAGACAUGGGAGACUCCAUUUUGUUCUGUACUAAGAAAAUUCUUCUGCCUUGGGAUGCUGUUAAUCUAUAACCUUACCCCCAACCCCGUGCUCUCUGAAACAUGUGCUGUGUCCACUCAGGGUUAAAUGGAUUAAGGGCGGUGCAAGAUGUGCUUUGUUAAACAGAUGCUUGAAGGCAGCAUGCUCGUCAAGAGUCAUCACCACUCCCUAAUCUCAAGUACCCAGGGACGCAAACACUGCGGAAGGCCGCAGGGUCCUCUGCCUAGGAAAACCAGAGACCCUUGUUCACAUGUUUAUCUGCUGACCUUCCCUCCACUAUUGUCCUAUGACCCUGCCAAAUCCCCCUCUCCGAGAAACACCCAGGAAUGAUC